rnacentral:sRNA from 1 species
UAAGUUUAAUUGAAAUUUAUAGUGCUAUUUGUGGAAUUUUAGAAAUAUUGUGCUAAUUUUAGAAGAAAAAGUUUUUUUUGUGCUAUUUUUGUCAAUUGCCCAAAAAUAUAUCGAUGUGUUUAGAUAUAGAUAUAACCAAGCCACGUUCUAUUCUGCCAUCAUUUUGGAAAAACUAUUCUGGUGUACCAUCUUUUAUUCUGAGUACCACUCGAGCAUGUGCAAUUACAUCUCUCUCCUUAAUGAAUAACUGAGGGAGAAUUUCAAAAUAAAGAGUAAAUCAUUUAGUAAAAAAGAAAAGAAUAACGACCGUUACCAAAAUCGCGAACCUACUCUCCUGCCGACGUGAUUUUCUCCGACUUCGCCGUCGGCGACUUGAGCUUCGAUUUCGCCGGCGAUUUGAGCUCUAAUUUCACCGGCGAGUUAGCUUCCAAGAUAGCCGUAGCUUCCAAGCCGAUAAUCUGCUCCCAAAGUGAGCUUCCUCUUCAACGGCAAAAGUAAAUCCGAUCUCGUUUUCAUAUGUAGAUUAAUGUGAAUUUCUUGUUGGAGUUAGUUGUUAAUAACAUAAAAUUGUUGUAUUGUUCAUUCUGGGCUGUUGUAUCGUUUUGAAUCAGAGAGUUUAGUGAGUGUUCAAUCGAAAUUUACGAUUUGUGAAACCCAGAAUUGACGAACUGGGACAAAUGGUAAAACUGAGAUAUAAUAGUAUAAGCGGUACAAGUGUUUUAUUGAGAUACAAUAGGACAGGUGGUACAAAUGGUAUUAGUGAGUUAUAAUAUAGGUACAAUUAUUUCUAAAUCUGAAUGAUUACGUAAUUGUGUUUUUAUAAUUUAUUUGUAAUUACAGGAGACGAUGAAGAACAAGCACACAUUCAUACAAUUUGACAAUGGGUAUUAUUCAGAAGAGCAUGAGUGGAUUUCAAACAAUUCUUUAAGUGGUGUAUUGUUGAGCACGUCAAAGGUAACAUACUCUAUGUUAGUAGAAAAGAUAUGCAAGAAGAUUGGAAUAGAUGAAACCUCAAGGAAGGUGAAAUUGAGUUAUAUUCUAUGCACAUCUCAGAGACAGACAUCUAUUGUAGAUGAUGAUGCCUUUUUAAGUUAUCUAACGGUAGUGAAU